rnacentral:miRNA from 1 species
UUCCUUCCAAUCAAUGAGGUGUAACAACCCCAUUGACCAGAAGGGAUUCCUUCCAAUCAAUGAGGUGUAACAGCCUCAUCAAGGGAUUCAUUCUGUUCAAUGGUGUUGUUUUUUCUUAUUGACCAGAGGGAA